UGGGGAAUUUUGGACAAUGGGGGAAACCCUGAUCCAGCCAUCCCGCGUGUGCGAUGAAGGCCUUCGGGUUGUAAAGCACUUUUGGCAGGAAAGAAACGUCAUGGGUUAAUACCCCGUGAAACUGACGGUACCUGCAGAAUAAGCACCGGCUAACUACGUGCCAGCAGCCGCGGUAAUACGUAGGGUGCAAGCGUUAAUCGGAAUUACUGGGCGUAAAGCGUGCGCAGGCGGUUGGAAAGAAAAAUGUGAAAUCCCAGAGCUCAACUUUGGAACUGCAUUUUUAACUACCGGGCUAGAGUGUGUCAGAGGGAGGUGGAAUUCCGCGUGUAGCAGUGAAAUGCGUAGAUAUGCGGAGGAACACCGAUGGCGAAGGCAGCCUCCUGGGAUAACACUGACGCUCAUGCACGAAAGCGUGGGGAGCAAACAGG
rnacentral:rRNA from 1 species